UGGACAGAUCUCCUCUUGGACCAGUGACUCCUUUAAAGUCAGGACUUCAGUGUUUUGAUUGAGGCAGAAAUGCUGCUGCUGCUCCUCAGAUACAAUGGAGAACAUAUUUCUUCCUCGGUAGUAGUAUCUGCUUUCUAAUGGCACCAGUUCAUGAGUUCCUGAGUUUAUCUGCUCUAAAAUCUCCCAGUGUCCCUUCCAGCUGCAAAGAUAGAGGAAAACUCCCUGCUUCAAAAGUCUAAUUUCAUGUAUUUCCUCAGAGACAUUCUGCGUUCUCCAGUCUCCAAAGACAAUUCUGGACAGGAGAUACCUGCCAGACUCCAGAGAGCAGGUUUAGAUUAGAUCUUAACAAGAAAUCUCUUAGUGUGAGGGUGGUGAGGCCUUGAGGUUGCCCAGAGCAGCUGUGGCUGCCCCUGGAUCUCUGGAAAUGUCCAAGACCAGGUUGGACAGGGCUUGGAGCCACCUUGGGAUAGUGGAAGGUAUCCCUGACAUGGCAAGAAGUUGGAACAAGAUGAUCUUGAAGGUCCUUUCCAAUUCAAACCAUUCUGUGAUUCUAUGUGUGCUAAGAUCUCUUCCAUCCUUCAAAUGCAGCAGAUUUUCUGUCUCCUCUCUCUCCAUAACAGUGUCAGUACUUCUCAUUUGGAAAUAAAUCCUCUCAGCUGCAACACUUUGCUUCAUGAAUGCCUUUUGAAGUGGCUGUUUCAGCUGGCUUGAAGGAGGCAGAUUCAAAUGGAAACUCACAUGUUCAACAGUGAAGCAGCACGAAGUUGUCAGGCUUGACCAGAUGAGAUUCGGACGCUCCUUGGGAUCACUUAAACGCGAUUUAUUGACCAGCAGCAAGUCGGUCCUUGCCCUGGGAGAGGCAGAGGCGGCGGGGUCGAGUCCGGCUGCUGCAAUUCCCCCAUUUUCCCACCAGAUGGCAGCCGCCACAAAGGAAAAAUCCAGCGGAGAAUCUGCAAGUCACGGGAAGGAGCCGGAACGGGAACACCCGGGCUGGGCAGCAUGGCGGGGCCGGCUAGGGAAGGGAGAAUCCCCCGGAGAGGUGAGAGACCUGUACCUCCAAUGAACACAUGAUCCAGUGACCAAAACACAAAAUCUGGGAGAUAAUAGGAAAGAAAUAACAUCCACCAGUUAUUAUUACACUAGGACAGAGAUGCAAGAAAAUAUUGUUAAUGCAGACUUAAGACUUGUAAUAAAACAGAUCUAUGAGGAAAAAAAACCCAAAUCCUAAGAAUUGUAAUAAAACAGAUCUAUGAGGAAAAAAAAAACCAAAUCCCAAGAGUUACAAAGUGAAGCAACCUGAACCAAAGGUGCAUAAAAUAUUCUGGAACAAGCUGGCCCAAACAUAAGCCAGUUAAAUUGCUGUAGCAGUCAAUGACUGAGUAGCUCAGAAUUUUAUCUGUCUCCAUUGUUUUAAGCUUGUGAGAAGAAGGGUACCCCAUCAGGUGCUUUCAAAGGUCUCAGAUAUCCAGUAGGAACAAAGGAAAUAAAAAUGCUUUUCCCCUACUACUGCAAAAAAAAAAACAACCCCAAAUCAAAACAACAACAGCAAAAAAAACAAAAAAAAAAACAACCCCAAAUCAAAACAACAACAGCAAAAAAAACCCGACCAAACAAAAAAACAACCAACCAAUCAAACAAAAAAACACCCCAAACCCCGAAAGAAAAUAACAAUAACUACAAAAACCUCAACCACCAUAAAAAAAAAACAAAAAAAACAAAAAAAAAACAAAAAAAAAAAACAAAACCAAGGAAACCCCUUUAACAAUUUUGUCCUUUCCUCUGGGCCUAGGUAGGAAAGGAUUGGUUUUUAAUGCUGGACUAGACAGGUAGCCAACUGCCAGUCUCUUUAUCACAUCAAGGACCAACCACUUGGUUCCACCCCAAAGUUUUCCACUUUCACCUUGUAUUUAAAGCUAUCAGUUCAGAGAAAACCAGCAGAAUCUCAGGAAUAAGAGUGGGACAGGUUGGGAUGUGUUCUCUUAACUCUCACAUGAUAACAGGGUUCCAGUGUAUUUGCAAGAUAAGAAGAACACAGAUCUGCAAAAAUCUGUGGAUUUAGCUCAGGUGUCCUGGGAAAGGCAGACUGGGACACACUGCUCCAGGAGCUGGAAUUGCUCAGGGAAUCCAAAGCCUGGUGACUGAGGAGAAAAAAGAAGGAGGCAGAAAAUGUUCUACAGUAUUUUGUGUCUUUUACUACCUGUACCUUCAUGUCAUGCUCACCAUAAUUUAGAUUUAAAGCAAAUGGAGGCACUUUGAACCAUGUUCCUAAUUUGUCCAACAGGUUGGGGAGGUGGUGGUGGUGCUGGAAUAAAUGCAAAAGGGGACACAACUUUUUUUUUUUUUUUUUUUUCCCCCCCCCCCCCCCCCCCCCCCCCUUUUUUUUUUUUUUUUUUUUUUCCCAUUGAGUCAGCAACAUGCAGCCAGUGUAAACCACUCGUGUUUGUUCCAUGCCUUUAAUCUGUCUGCAGUCUGUAGAAGAAUACAUCCCUAGAGUCUUUACUAGACCUUGAAUUCGAGCAGCUGUCACUUUAAAUUUAUUUCCUCCUCUGUCUGGGAGCUAUUUUAGUGCAAAUGUAAGCACAUGUGCUCCCAAGAGCAGCCACCAUGACAGGUACACUCCUACAUAUCUGUGUUAUCUUCUUCCAACAGGCUUGAAGCUGGUGGCAAAUAUUUUUCCUUUCAGUGUGGUUUUUUUUUUGUCUUUUGUGUAUUUUUUGGCCAGUUGUAGUGGUCCUUUUCCCCACUGCUUCCCAAAUCAUCUUCUGUGGAAUAAAGCCUUGGGUGCAGCAGCUUUGUAGAAUUUAGGGUGGUGCUGGGCUCACAGCAGCCAAAAGAUCCUGAGGAAGGAACAAGACCUGUUCCAGAGAUCCGACUUAUUGCAGGUUUUCUCCACUGCAAUCUUCCUGUCUGCAUCUCUUGAGGUCCAGCCUGUUCAGUCAGCAAUUGCUUUUCAAUCAUGAGGAAAGGAAAUCUCAGACUCAGGAGUCACACCGCCUCAUUUCUGGCUUUUCCAUUGCUCCCUGAGUCCCUACAACCAAUUCUCCAGCUCUGCCUCUUUCUGUGCCUAUUUGUCCUACAUUAUAAGAUGGUGAUCUCUAGAAGAGCCUGGAUUUCAUUCCAUUAGUCAUCCUCUCCCUGUAAAAAUUGUGUUGUCAUCAUCCCUUGCUCCCCAGAAUAUUUCUAGUUUCAGAAUUAGGAAUCCAAAGCAACAGGGGAAGCUUUAAAUUCUAAAAAUCAAUCUCACUGAUUUGCUUGAUGUUAACAAUAACCUGUCAAUCUUCCCAUCAACCUAGAAACCUGCAUUCCUCCCACACUCAAACAAUAACCUCAUGGGAUUCAAAAUGGGGAACAGAGCAGGGUGUGGCAAGGUUUAGGGAGAAGGGAGACUGGGAAAAAAACCCCACAACUCAUUUAACUUACUCACUCAGGGCUUAUUAAUGACUAAUCAAUAUCUACUUGACUCCAAAAACUGAACUGCUUGAAGAAGAUCAGAAAUGACAAAAAGUAAUUUUGCUGGGCUUUCUUGCUCUGUCUAAAUCAGUAUUUUAGUAGCUUUCCCCUGUGAAGAGACAGAAGAGGAAGCUCUGGCUAGAGAAGCUUCCAGGAGCAGACAUCCCCAGCAGCCAAAGGGUGAGAUUCCCCUGUCAAAAUGGAGAUGUUCGUGGUGCAGACUGUCACCUUGGAGCUCACUGUCUGGGCUCUCUUGACAAAGAGAC
rnacentral:lncRNA from 1 species